rnacentral:rRNA from 1 species
CAGCAGUGGGGAAUAUUGCACAAUGGGCGCAAGCCUGAUGCAGCGACGCCGCGUGCGGGAUGGAGGCCUUCGGGUUGUAAACCGCUUUUGUUCAAGGGCAAGGCACGGCUUCGGGCCGUGUUGAGUGGAUUGUUCGAAUAAGCACCGGCUAACUACGUGCCAGCAGCCGCGGUAAUACGUAGGGUGCGAGCGUUAUCCGGAUUUAUUGGGCGUAAAGGGCUCGUAGGCGGUUCGUCGCGUCCGGUGUGAAAGUCCAUCGCCUAACGGUGGAUCUGCGCCGGGUACGGGCGGGCUGGAGUGCGGUAGGGGAGACUGGAAUUCCCGGUGUAACGGUGGAAUGUGUAGAUAUCGGGAAGAACACCAAUGGCGAAGGCAGGUCUCUGGGCCGUUACUGACGCUGAGGAGCGAAAGCGUGGGGAGCGAACAGGAUUAGA